AAUUAUGUGGUAUUUAAUUCAUUUAAAUACGUUAUUAAUGAUCGGAAAAUUUAGAUAAAUGAUAUUAAUUAUCUGAAAAAUAUUUCAAGCUUAUGAAAAUCAUUUAGACUGAUAAGAAAAUUAUCUGUGAUAUCGUCAAGUGUUUAGGCAGAGUUUAAUUAAACUUAGACUCCUUAAAUUGUCCGACUAGACCGUCGGGAUGAUAGAAUUGUACCGAUUUCAACUCGGACUGAAAUAGUUUGACUUGAAGCUAUGUCUUAUGUGUAUAAGAGACUGAUAAGAUUAUGUGGUAAUAUGUUUAAGUUAUUUUAUAACUGUGAUGAUAUUAUUCUAAUACUGGAGAUCUAUAUUAUUAAUAUUAGGUCUUCGGGAGAAGCUUAUUAUAUUGUGUUACGGUAAUCAACGGUUCAGGCAAGUUUUUAAGUUUUUCAAGUUCUUUUUACUUAAACUCUUUUAAGAGUGGUUUCAGACAGAUAUGCUUAUGAAUUGUACUCUGUACAUAUUGCAUGUAUUCAUCAGGUAUGAAAGGCUGAUCACCUUCAUUACCAGUCAGUUCAGAUAUAAUUGUUAUGUUCAUUUUCAAUGUUCAUUCAGCUUUGAAAUUUUGUUCAUGCUAAUUCACAACUACAUUGUGAAGGAUAGCCAGCUUAUUAUUCAAACUCUUUCAAUCAUGAUAUAUCUUUACCUUGUUUUUUUUAAACUUGCUGGGCAACUUUCAUGCUCACCCUUGCUAUAUCAUGAUAAAACAUUGCAGAUAAGGCGAAUACAGCCAGAUACAGAAAAAGGAUAAUGCCAAGUUCAGCUUGGUACAGAAUGUGAAGUUAAGUUGUAAAGUAUGUUGAAGAAUAGUAUUGUCAUGUGCUAGAUAGUUC
rnacentral:lncRNA from 1 species